GGGUUUAAGUGCCAAGGAAGCUUUUUCAGUGUUGGUAUGUAGGAUUUGGGCUCCUCUCUCUUUUCAAGGACUGGACAAUCCCUUUCAUUCAGUCACUGCUGGCGGAUCAGGGGAUGAAGCCCACAUUCACGGUCUCGUUAUCACAGUAUCAGACCACUUCCUAUGCUGGAGCAUUGUGAUCCUUCUGACAUCCCUGCAGCAGGACGUGGAGACCUCAGGCACCAGGAGCAGAGUGCUUUCAGUGGGUCACCCCACAGCAGCAACUAAACAUCUUGUUCCAGUGCUGAGAGAGGAAUCUGGCCCUGCGGACAUUCACCUGUGACUUUUCUCAUUGUCUUUAUUUUUCUUGAUGCAAACUGACAUACAGACCGAGCCCUACCAUCUGUGUUACAACGGUUGGAGGCCCAAGGUUGGCUGUGUUUUGGUACCAAGUCCUUCCACCGUUGGUGUCCACAUAUUAAAGGUAAUGUCUUUUAGUGUAUGCUCAUAAGAAAGUUUGGUUCUGUUUGCUACAACUGAUGAUAACUGUGCCUUCUUUUUUAAGAACUGCAGCCCUCAAAAAGACAGUUUUUUAAUGUCUGCCACACAUCCGUGCCUCAGCUUUGCUGGCGUGAAACCAGGAAAGACGGCACAUUUCAUUUCCUGUUAUCUCCAAUCAGUGCAGGGAGCUCACACCGCUGCUCACUUCAGCUUUGCUGAGAUGUGGACAUUUUGGCUUUUUGGGGAGUCCACACUUAUGGUGCGCGAUCAGUGCAGUUUAAGGCGUAAAGGCGCAAAGUGAGGGCCGUGACAGCUUGAAGGAUUGCGUGGGCUCCACCAGCCAGACCCUAUCUGAGCACAAAUUAAAAAAAAAAUAGUGUUGACAGACAACUUUCAGAAGUUGCUUUGUCGAGCGUCAGCUUCACUUCACAGCACAUUGUCACAUGCCAGCGCUGACACUUGUGGCAUGCCUUGCUGGCACAGUGUGGCAUGUCUUUCGUGCUGGUGUCUUUUUCUGCAUUUCUUUCCCACUAAAUUCCUGAUUUACAACCUGCAGUCAUCAGGCUUUGCUCUUGUUGUAUAGGUGAAAGGAGCCUUGUUGCAUAGCAUGUACUAGAAGAGCAGUGCAGCCAGCACAAUUAAAGAACAGUCAAGAAUGGAGCAUAUGAACCCCUAAAUGUAAUGAUAUUUCUGUGCUAUGAAGUGCUUUCUGCUGCCGGGCUUCUAAUAUCCCAGUUCUUCCAUUCAUUCAGAAAUCGUGGCAGUAUCUGUUACUCUGAGAGCAAAGACUUAGCAGAGUUAACAGCUGCUGGAGGCCAGGUGAGACGAACACAGCUUAUGUUAACAGCUUACAUUUGUUGGUCAUUUUGUGUGCUAGAUGUUCUCCCAGUGGCAUGCUACCAUAGCUGAGAAGGGAAAUUGUCCUCCUAGUACCACCAUGGGCAAGGGUUGUAACUGCUAACGUGUUAAACCAAGUCUCAGAGCUCUGUAAAUGUUGUGGCAUAUAUGGAUAGAGAAAGAAAAGAAGUGUCACUCAUCAGGAUUUUGACACUGUGUAAUAACAGUGAGAAACAAUGAAGAGAGUGUAAGUGCCUCAAAGCAGGAAAGAGCUCUGUGAAGUCUUCCCUGAUGGGUAACCAACAUAGAGCACAGCACUUCACUGUGAGAAGGGCAGGGUGUUUGAAUCAAACACACAUGGAGACCUUCGUACCUGCAAGCUGAAGGUCUUCCUGGACAUUCCCAGGCAUGUGAUGAGUUUUGGGGCACCUGGAGCUAAGCAGCUCCCAGGUGUGGAGCUGGUUGUGUAGCCCCAGUGUUUUUGGCCCUGUCCUAAUGUCCCACCGUGAACUGAUUUUUCCACACAGGUCAGGAGGUGUACAGUGUUUCCUAAGGUGUGUGAGAGGCUUUUAUUGUGCCCCAUGCCACCGUAUGUGGCUGAUGGUUUGCCAAGGCCAAGUAGGCAGUGAGGAAAGCCAUCACUUAGAGCACAUGGCAGAAGAGCUGCUCUCCAUUCCCUCUGAGGUAGCGUAGACCCUAGGUGCGAGCAGCACUAAUUAGUUCUUAUUAUGGGCCAGCACAGUGAGUGCCACAUGGAGGUGAUUAGCUCAAACACAAUUGUCUGCAGCAGCAGAUUCCUUUGACAUUUUGGCCUGAACAUGGCAUUUCCAAGGGCUCACUCUAGCAGUGAUUUGGCAAAAGAAAAUUAGUAUUGGGUAAAGGCCCAAGGUGGAUAGCGAUGUGAGACACACAGUCGAAAAAUUAGCACUUAGUCCCACUGGACCUGCUGUUGCUCACAGCCCACAGAUUCUGCUGUGCUCCAUGAACUGUGUGACCUCCAGACCUGGGGCAGGGAAGUCCAAAUUGUGGCCCAGGCGCUGGUGGCUCAGUUAGGUCUCGGAACAGCUAGCUCUGCAUGAUGGUUUUUAGGCUCCAUGCCUUUGGAUGUCCAUCACACCUGUGAGUAAACAGCCAACCCUCAACCCACCACUGCCUAAUUUUGGGAGAUCCCUAUAGUUUGGGAGGAAGCUGAAAUGUAGGCCAUGAGUUCUAUCAGUUAAGGCUGGGCUUUGCCCCACUAAGCAUCUGUUUGUGACUUUGCCCUAGUGUUGUGGAACUGGGAGCUCCCCAACUCAUCCCAGAAGGCCUCACCGCUGGGCUCCAGUGUGUGAUUUUGAAGUUAACAUUGGGCUGGUGUUGCUGACGCUGAUGCUUUGCUGUUGGCGCACAGGUGGGCUGCCUGUAUGUGAGGGCAGCACUAGGCAGCAGUGCCAUGGCAUAAAGCUCUUUAUUUCAAGCUUUUUGAAACCAUGCUUGAAAUGCGUUCCUUCAUGCUGAUCCUGGGAGUCUUCCAUACCCUCAGCAUUUGGCUGACUCCUUGUUUUGCUCGCUGGGAACCUCUACAGCUGCUCGCCCAGCCCAGCCAGCAGCUGAGUUGCUCAUCAUCUACCAGGGCAGCUUUGUGCUAUGCAGUGGCUGUGACAACGAAGCAGACCCAAGAAUUACAGUGCUAUUUUGUGCAUUUUUUUAUGUGCGCCCAUAAUUUUUGUGAAGGAAACAAACACUCCUGCCUGGCUUAUAAUAGUAAUGCUUUGGGCUGUUUUCACUUGUGUAAUGGGCCAUUCCGACCCACUACCCCUCUUCAAGCCCUUGGGUAUUUGAUUAUUGGCUUUGCUUUUCCCUCCCACAGACUGAACCAUGGCCUAAGCACCAAAACCCUCCCAGCACCCAGCCAGGGCAGUGUUGUGCCAUCUAGGGAAGGCAAGGGCAUUUAUUCUUGGCACCUGAGUCGGGCUCACAAGGGAAAACGGCAGUUCAUGGUUUCCUCCAUAUUUCGAAGAGUGAGAGCAUUCCCAUGCCCAGGCUACUGCAGCAUCUCAUGACUCCCU